CUUAGUUUUAACCCUAGGUUUUUUCUCCAAUACGUUACCCUAGGGUUUUUCUCCAAUAUGUUCAUCUCUCUUCCCCAUCUCUAUUCGCCUCUCAUCCGAUAUCAAGGUUUUGAUCUUGAACUCCUUGAUUUUCUUCAAAUGUUUUUAAAAAAAUGAAGAUUUUGCGUUAUUGAAUCAUUCUAAUCAUCCAAUGGUGAAGAUUUUGCUUUAUAAUGGCAACUAUUUUUGCCUGAAUCAUUGUAAUCAUCCCCUUCAACAUCUUCCAAAAUCAAAGCUUUCAAGGAAAGAGUGGAUUUGAAGAUGAUAACUUUCAACAGUCUAACUCCAUUGACUUGAAUAUGAAGAGUUGUGUAAAUAUGGAGAAAGAUCACUUGCCUAUUGCCGAAAUCCAAAAUUCAUUGAGAACUUAGAUUUUGCAGCUUGAGAAAAGAUUACAAGACCAAGUUGUUGUUCGUGGCGCGCUAGAACAAGCAUUGGGUUAUAAAUCAUCCUCCUGCGAGAUUACGAAUCAAGCCUCUAUACCAAAGAACCAUGGAAGGGAAAAAUACCAUCUAUUUGAUUUGAACGAUAUUGAUGGCAAAACAAGAGCUUUUACAAUAAAGGUAAAAGUGGUUAGGCUAUGGAAGAGAUCAAAUCCCAAAAUGGUUGGUGAGAAAUGGACUAUUGAUAUGGUGCUCAUGGAUGAAAAGGACCAACACAUAGCUUUGAGUUUUCAACAUUUAAGUCUAUUAAAAAUGGUGGAGUUUCUUCAGAUUUUAGAUUUUCGAACUGACUUUAUUGGGUACGUCGAGGAGUGGUUUCCAUGGGAGGAUACAACAACACGAUAUGGCAAACAAUCCUACAAGAUGGACUUAAUAUUGAGAGAUUUGGAGUUUUUCUCCUUUAAUAUCGUUUUUUCUAAUAAUUUUCUUCAUACUGUAUUGAUUAUUUUUCGCUAAAUUAAUAACAAUUUCAGGGGUAUUGCUGCAAGGUUGACAUUGUGGGAGGAAUAUUGCGAUCAAAUGCAAGAGUACAUCUCCAAAAAUAAGGAAGAAGUACAUAUUGUACUUAUUGUUCAGUUUGGUAGCGUCCAUGACUACAAAGGCACCAUCAAUGUCGCAAAUGCGUACUACAUUACUAAGUUGUUCAUCGAUGAACGCAUUGAAGAGAUUGUUAAUUUCAAAAGAAGUCUGGCGUCACAUCUAAUGAAGACGAGUUCUUACAUAAGACUUUUUUCAGCACCAUUCGUCAGAUUAGGGAAAUAGCUCAGGC